rnacentral:rRNA from 1 species
UACGUAGGGGGCAAGCGUUGUCCAGAAUCAUUGGGCGUAAAGGGCGUGUAGGCGGCUCGGUAAGUCCGCUGUGAAAGUCCAGGGCUCAACCCUGGAAUGCCGGUGGAAACUGUCGAGCUAGAGUCCGGAAGAGGCGAGUGGAAUUCCUGGUGUAGCGGUGAAAUGCGCAGAUAUCAGGAGGAACACCAAUGGCGAAGGCAGCUCGCUGGGACGGGACUGACGCUGAGACGCGAAAGCGUGGGGAGCAAACAGG